AUUGAACGCUGGCGGCAGGCCUAACACAUGCAAGUCGAGCGAGCGGGGGGCGGGAGAGUAAUGUAUGGGACUCUGUCCGGUAGGGGGGUAUAACCACUGGAAACUGUCUCUAACACCGCAAUCUAUCGGGUGACCCCAUAUGGGAUUAGCUAGUGGGGGGGGUAAAGGCUCACCUAGGCGACGAUCUCUAGCUGGUCUGAGAGGAUGAUCAGCCACACUGGGACUGAGACACGGUCCAGACUCCUACGGGAGGCAGCAGUGGGGAAUAUUGCACAAUGGGCGCAAGCCUGAUGCAGCCAUGCCGCGUGUGUGAAGAAGGCCUUCGGGUUGUAAAGUACUUUCAGCGGGGAGGCGUUACCCGCAGAAGAAGCACCGGCUAACUCCGUGCCAGCAGCCGCGGUAAUAC
rnacentral:rRNA from 1 species